CGCACCCUCCUCUCUCUCCCUUUCCUUCAUCCCCUCACUAGAUUGCGCCGUCGCUGCUGGCCUGCCGCUACCAGCACCGGCCGCCUCCACCGCCGAUUCGCACUGCGACAGCGCCACACGGACUACGUCCUACUCUCCUCCUCCGAUCAUCCACCACCGGCUCGCUGUUCUACCUCGCCGGCGGCGCUGCGGCUAACCCUAGCCGCCCCUGUCCGACGCGUGGCGGCGCAAGCGGCCUCCCGUGCUCCUUGGCUCGGCCUUCGUCGCCUUCUUCCACGCCUCCCGCGCGGAUUCGCCUCCUCUGGUUCAGAGAUUCCAGGCGGUGAUGACGAUGACGAUGGUCGACAUCCUACGUGGCUUGCGGGACAGGAAGGGAGGGGAGCCAGCAUACGUUGUUCAUGCUCAGACUCGGUGGCGUGUUUGAGCUCCUGCAUUGUUUCGCUGCGGUGACAAUUUUUCCUAGCUCAACACCUAUCAAUUUCGUGGCUUCUUAUGGUUCAGAAGAAUAUAUACACUCCCUCCAUUCCUAAAUAUAAGUUUUUGUAGAGAUUUCACUAUGGACUACAUACGGAACAAAAUGAGUGAAUCUACACUCUAAAGACUUAUAUUUAGGAACGGAGGGAGUAUAUGUGAACAUGGACCAUUGCAAGAGUACCAUAUUCGUUUAUGGUCGAAGCAUUUUGAUUGUCGACUAUUACCCCCAAUAGGUUGCAGGUACACAAAUGAGAUUGCUCUGAUGCAUUCUGUCAACAUGGCAAUGCUACCGAAUGUAUUAGUAUUAAUCUGUUUGGACUUUCUUUGGUAUUGGAUCUAUGGUUUGUGUUGAUUAGGAAUAGCUUUCUUAUUGAUGGAUUCGUUGAUCAGACAAUCAAAGUAAUAUGCCAUCCUAUGAUAUGGAAUCCAAACGAUAGGGUUUUGUAAAGUUCUCUAAAUGAAGUAUAUGCGGUGUUGUAGAAAAUGAGAUGUGAAGUAACUAAGUAAGGCAGAUCUGAAGAAUGUAAUAACUUGUUGCUGCUACUCUGCAAGCUACUCGAGAAGGAGCUGAAGGGUGUAUGCUACCUCCAUGUGAUCUACGUGUUUGCCAAUGACACGGUGUGGUGGCAUCACAGAGAAGAAAUGUGGAAGGGGAAGGAUCAUCCAAUGAAGGGUGCAAAGUGAAGAUAGAGAACCAUGUCGCCAUUUCAGACUUCAAGCUCCGCGAUAUCGCAUCGCUGCUACAGGGGACAGACCUCAAGAGAUCACCGAGCCUACCCAAAAAGGACGCCUGUGUCACCAUCAACACCCUCUUCUACCCGUUCAUGAAGAACCAACAGCAAGGUCAUCAUUGCUAAACCCCUUCAAGGUCACCCGGAACCUCCUCAAAAUGGCUCCUUGCAAUAUGUGCUAGCAAGUACUAUGCCAUGAAAAAAUGUAGAUUGGCAAGGUAGAGUAACUGUACUUGAGGACUUUCUUCGUCAUGAUAUAAAAGCGGACAACUUCCUUGUGGUCUUAGGCCGUAAAGCCAGUCAGGUUUCUGCCAUUCAUGCACAUUUACGGGACAUUGUGUUAUUGCCUGAAGGCAAUACAUCAGGUAUGCCUGAAGGCAAUACAUGAGGUAGUACAGGGGCAUCAUCUAUUUCUCUCAUUGUGAUGCCAAGUUAUCUCGCACGUGAUCAAAUCUGAAAAGCUGACCUCAGGCCCGAAAAUGAAUUGUCGUUUCUCCGAGUAGUUGCAGAAAGGAUAAGCCUGCUCCUGAAUGUCGUGAUAUAGAACAGUCAAUUGUGCUUGAUGUGAAAACAGUUGUUGGGAUACAGUUUUAUUCUGGGUAUCCUCAGUUUAUUGUACACCUACAAAAGGGAUGUAUACCUGAGUGUAAUGCUUCUCAGUUGGGGGUUGUAGAAUGUCUAUUUGUUUGAUGCAAAAUUAAAAAAAUGUCUAUUUGUUAGAUGAAAAUGAAGAAUUUCUUGCGGGUCAUCAACAAUUUUAGAAUGCAUUGAUAUUGUUUAGUUAAUAUAUUUCCAAUUUUUUGCAGUAUAUGUACGAUCUAUUUCUUUCAUUUUCUCAUAUUUCUAUUGUUUUUCUUCAACUUUUCUGUUUUUUGGAUGUAGUGAUGUGAGCCUUUGCGAUGGAGCUUUUUUAGGAGCCAAAAGAGGCUAGGAUCAAUCACAAAACCAUCAAUCAUCCUAAUUCAAAACUAAAACACCUCAGACCCAAGGUCAAACAACUACAAGUUUAUUGGACCUAAGAAAAAAGCUCAACACACUCUUCUCUUGCAACCAAUAGAAUUUCUCUAUUCAGUUACAUACCAUCAUUGAUGGUGGAAAGCACAAACUAUACUAAAGCACAGUACUUCAAAACAAUUCAAACAAAUGUAUACAAAUUACUUUGGAUGCCU